rnacentral:snRNA from 1 species
AGAUGCAGGAGCCACAUGGCUAUGACAUCUGUCACUCGGUUGAUCACCAGGGUUGAUUCAGCUGAUCUGGCUGGCUAGGUGCAUGUCCCCUCCCUCCCUCCCUCAGACUAUGUGUGACCCUCCCAAAGCUGCAAGCUGUUAAUAAUUUCCACAGAACUAUCUAGAAACAUCGUUUGCCUAAGACAG